rnacentral:rRNA from 1 species
CCUACGGGAGGCUGCAGUGGGGAAUAUUGGGCAAUGGGCGCAAGCCUGACCCAGCAACGCCGCGUGAAGGAAGAAGGCUUUCGGGUUGUAAACUUCUUUUCUCAGGGACGAAGAAAGUGACGGUACCUGAGGAAUAAGCCACUGCUAACUACGUGCCAGCAGCCGCGGUAAUACGUAGGGGGCAAGCGUUAUCCGGAUUUACUGGGUGUAAAGGGCGUGUAGGCGGGAAAGCAAGUCAGAUGUGAAAACCAUGGGCUCAACCUGUGGCCUGCAUUUGAAACUGUUUUUCUUGAGUACUGGAGAGGCAGACGGAAUUCCGCGUGUAGCGGUGAAAUGCGGAGAUAUGAGGAGGAACACCAGUGGCGAAGGCGGUCUGCUGGACAGCAACUGACGCUGAGGCGCGAAAGCGUGGGGAGCAAACAGGAUUAGAUACCCCAGUAGUC